rnacentral:rRNA from 1 species
AUCUUGCGCAAUGGGCGAAAGCCUGACGCAGCCAUGCCGCGUGAAGGAUGAAGGUCUUACGAUUGUAAAAUUCUUUCACCGGGGACGAGAAGGACGGUACCCGGAGAAGAAGCCCCGGCUAACUCCGUGCCAGCAGCCGCGGUAAUACGAAGGGGGCUAGCGGUGCUCGGAAUUACGGGGCGUAAAGGGCGCGUAGGCGGACAUUUAAGGCAGGGGUGAAAUCCCAGAGCUCAACUCUGGAACUGCCUUUGAUACUGGGUGUCUUGAGUGUGGGAGGGGUAUGUGGAACUCCGAGUGUAGAGGUGAAAUUCGUAGAUAUUCGGAAGAACACAAGUGGCGAAGGCGACAUACUGGCUCAUUACUGGCGCUGGGGCGCGAAAGCGUGGGGAGCAAACAG